rnacentral:rRNA from 1 species
UCGAGCGAACAGAUGAGGAGCUUGCUCCUCUGACGUUAGCGGCGGACGGGUGAGUAACACGUGGAUAACCUACCUAUAAGACUGGGAUAACUUCGGGAAACCGGAGCUAAUACCGGAUAAUAUAUUGAACCGCAUGGUUCAAUAGUGAAAGACGGUUUUGCUGUCACUUAUAGAUGGAUCCGCGCCGCAUUAGCUAGUUGGUAAGGUAACGGCUUACCAAGGCAACGAUGCGUAGCCGACCUGAGAGGGUGAUCGGCCACACUGGAACUGAGACACGGUCCAGACUCCUACGGGAGGCAGCAGUAGGGAAUCUUCCGCAAUGGGCGAAAGCCUGACGGAGCAACGCCGCGUGAGUGAUGAAGGUCUUCGGAUCGUAAAACUCUGUUAUUAGGGAAGAACAAAUGUGUAAGUAACUAUGCACGUCUUGACGGUACCUAAUCAGAAAGCCACGGCUAACUACGUGCCAGCAGCCGCGGUAAUACGUAGGUGGCAAGCGUUAUCCGGAAUUAUUGGGCGUAAAGCGCGCGUAGGCGGUUUUUUAAGUCUGAUGUGAAAGCCCACGGCUCAACCGUGGAGGGUCAUUGGAAACUGGAAAACUUGAGUGCAGAAGAGGAAAGUGGAAUUCCAUGUGUAGCGGUGAAAUGCGCAGAGAUAUGGAGGAACACCAGUGGCGAAGGCGACUUUCUGGUCUGUAACUGACGCUGAUGUGCGAAAGCGUGGGGAUCAAACAGGAUUAG